UGUCGUUCAACCCUUCCUCCAGUUGUCCCGAAAGCACCUUAAAGAUACGGAUAUAACUUUGCAAGGCAGUGUAUUUAGGAGCCAACCUACUAACAUCAGCUUCACCGAGUGCCCGACAAGGUUGGUCCAAAACUGGAGGGCACAUAGGUGGGCUUUCAGGAUAACCGGUAAAGUAAGUGCCUUGUUGUUCCCUCACUCUCAUUCAUUGUUCCUCCUUCGUCGCGAAGAGCCGCACCAUAGCUGGAUCCUCUGUUACCCGUAGAUCCGAACUUGUGCCUGAUUUUCAACCGUGUACGAGUUUGCCUCUCCGGGUGCCAGAUGGUCUGGAAGUCCCAACGCUUGAACUGCACUCGAUCGCUUUCAACUCGAUGCUACUUCAGCCUUAAAGAAACCCAAUGGUGUGGAUAACGGUGCAUCUCUAUUGAACAGUGAUAGUGAACCCAAGUGCUUGUUAUGUUGCAUUUAGAGGAAGCUCUCAUUCCGGUGUGAAUAAGAAUGAUUUGGAUGCCUUUCUGAGGUAGUAGGUUGUAUAGUUUGGGAGCCUCUUCCACUUCAACUGUACAGCAUGCUAACUUGGCUGGUCACCCUGGUGGUAUUUGGAGGUCUGAGAGAACCAGUUCAGUACGUGAGUGAACCCCGAACCAACCUUCCGUGUUGUGCAUGAAUAUGAAGAGUUUACGCCGAACAGGCCGACCGGCCACCGGGCCCUUUCAUGAUUCAUUCAGCCUGCCUGUCAGCCAGCCAGCAAGCAAGUCCCAAGCUACAGUGACCCAGUGACCUUCUAAGGACAGUGUUUUGCACGCUUCUUGUUGACUGAGUUCCUUAACCGGUUUGUCACGCAACCUUCAUUUGUUGUCGUUGUCUUUCGUUUUUUGGUGCAUUUUGUGUCCUUUUUCUCUUGCUUGGAAUGAAAUACACGCGUUCAGUUUCAGCCCAAA